rnacentral:tRNA from 1 species
GUCUCCAUAGUGUAGUGGUUAGCAUGUCUGCUUUACACGCAGAAAGUUCUGGGUUCCCACUCGAGGCA